UGUCAAGUGGCAGAUUAUGCGGUAGAUUUAAGCUCUAUAGAUGGGUUAAUUAUCCCUUGAUGA
rnacentral:tRNA from 1 species